UACAGAGGUGGCAAGCGUUGUUCGGAAUUACUGGGCGUAAAGGGCGCGUAGGCGGCUUCGAUAGUUGGGCGUGAAAUGCCUGGGCUUAACCCAGGAAUUGCGCUCAAUACUGUGAGGCUCGAGUGUGGGAGAGGAUAGUGGAAUUCCCAGUGUAGAGGUGAAAUUCGUAGAUAUUGGGAAGAACACCAGCGGCGAAGGCGGCUAUCUGGACCACAACUGACGCUGAGGCGCGAAAGCGUGGGGAUCAAACAGG
rnacentral:rRNA from 1 species